CGGGUCGUAGCGCAGAGGCAGUCGCUCCGCACUCGCAGCGCGGAUCACGCCGGUUCGAAUCCGGCCGCCCGG
rnacentral:tRNA from 1 species